AACGAACGCUGGCGGCAUGCCUAACACAUGCAAGUCGAACGAGACCUUCGGGUCUAGUGGCGCACGGGUGCGUAACGCGUGGGAACCUGCCUCUAGGUUCGGAAUAACUCCCCGAAAGGGGUGCUAAUACCGGAUAAUGUCUUCGGACCAAAGAUUUAUCGCCUUUAGAUGGGCCCGCGUUGGAUUAGCUAGUUGGUGGGGUAAAGGCCUACCAAGGCGACGAUCCAUAGCUGGUCUUAGAGGAUGAUCAGCCACACUGGGACUGAGACACGGCCCAGACUCCUACGGGAGGCAGCAGUGGGGAAUAUUGGACAAUGGGCGAAAGCCUGAUCCAGCAAUGCCGCGUGAGUGAUGAAGGCCUUAGGGUUGUAAAGCUCUUUUACCCGGGAUGAUAAUGACAGUACCGGGAGAAUAAGCUCCGGCUAACUCCGUGCCAGCCGCCACCGUAACAC
rnacentral:rRNA from 1 species